AGAGUUUGAUCCUGGCUCAGAAAGAACGCUGGCGGCGUGCUUAACACAUGCAAGUCGAACGAGAAAAUUCCGCUUCGGUGGAAUGAGUAGAGUGGCAAACGGGUGAGUAACACGUGGGCAACCUGCUCUCAAAUUGGGGAUAACCUCGCCAACGCGGGGCUAAUACCGAAUGUUGUCCUAAUAUCGUAUGGUAUAAGGAUGAAAGCUUUUUUUAAUAAGAAGGCGUUUGAGAAGGGGCCCGCGUCCUAUUAGCUUGUUGGUGAGGUAAUGGCUCACCAAGGCUGCGAUAGGUAGCCGGCCUGAGAGGGUGAUCGGCCACACUGGGACUGAGAUACGGCCCAGACUCCUACGGGAGGCAGCAGUAGGGAAUAUUGCGCAAUGGACGAAAGUCUGACGCAGCAACGCCGCGUGGGUGAUGAAGUUUUUCGGAACGUAAAACCCUGUCAGGAGGGAAGAAACUCUCGAUUUUUUCGGGACUGACGGUACCUCCAGAGGAAGCUCCGGCCAACUCCGUGCCAGCAGCCGCGGUAACACGGGGGGAGCAAGCGUUGUUCGGAUUUACUGGGCGUAAAGGGCGUGUAGGCGGAUGGGUCAGUCAGAUGUGAAAUUCCAGGGCCCAACUCUGGACCUGCAUUUGAUACUUCUCAUCUAGAGUAUGGGAGAGGAGAUCGGAAUUCCUGGUGUAGCGGUGAAAUGCGUAGAUAUCAGGAAGAACACCGGUGGCGAAGGCGGAUCUCUGGCCUAAUACUGACGCUGAUGCGCGAAAGCUGGGGGAGCAAACAGGAUUAGAUACCCUGGUAGUCCCAGCCGUAAACGAUGGGCACUAGGUGUUGGGGGUAUUGAUCCCCUCAGUGCCGGAGUUAACGCAUUAAGUGCCCCGCCUGGGGAGUACGCUCGCAAGGGUGAAACUCAAAGGAAUUGACGGGGGCCCGCACAAGUGGUGGAGCAUGUGGUUUAAUUCGAUGCAACGCGAAGAACCUUACCGGGGUUUGACAUGCCCGUCAUACCUUGAUGAAAGUCAAGGGUCAGUCCGGCUGGACGGUGCACAGGUGCUGCAUGGCUGUCGUCAGCUCGUGUCGUGAGAUGUUGGGUUAAGUCCCGCAACGAGCGCAACCCUUACCCUUAGUUGCCAGCACGUAAUGGUGGGAACUCUAAGGGGACUGCCUCGGAUAACGGGGAGGAAGGUGGGGAUGACGUCAAGUCCUCAUGGCCCUUAUGCUCCGGGCUACACACGUGCUACAAUGGUCGGUACAGAGGGCUGCGAAACCGCGAGGUGGAGCUAAUCCCAGAAAGCCGAUCUCAGUUCGGAUUGGAGUCUGCAACUCGACUCCAUGAAGUCGGAAUCGCUAGUAAUCGCGAAUCAGCAGGCCGCGGUGAGCACGUUCCCGGGCCUUGUACAC
rnacentral:rRNA from 1 species